CAGAGGCCGAAGAGAAGAAAUUCCCUUAAGAGGUAAUUUUUACUACAGCCUGUGUGGCCUGCACCAGGAAGACGUCCGCGGUGGGCCCCUGUUUUGAGUGGGUGAGUUCAAGAAAGUUAUCAAGGGUAAGAUCAGGACGCAAGCAACGGCUGCCUUCCUAAACACUACCAGUGUGGAAAAUGGAAAACCAAAGUGAGAAGCAAUAUGUUCAUGAUCUCAUCAAAGCUAAUACUCAGCUAUAAACAGACAAGGAUUCUUUGUGCAUCAUGGCCUGAGCAAACUACUGGAUUCUUGGACUUUCCACUGAGAGACAGCCAUUGUUUGACUAGCUGCAGCACAGCCUAUAAAAGCCACUGGAAUAAAUACCAUUUACAUAUCUGUUCAUUCUAUCAGCUCUGUUCCUCUAGAGAACCCUGACUGAUCCACCGGUCCCCAGCACUCAUGGCGUCUGUAACUCCAGUUUCCAAGGAUCCAACAUGCCCUUCUGGCUUCUGAGCCCGCUGCACACACAUGGUGCAAAGACACAUGU